rnacentral:rRNA from 1 species
CGUAUCACCCAAGACAACUUUGCACAGUUGACGAUUGACGGAGCGGAGCGACGUCAAAGCGUUUUACAACGUCGAGUUGGCUUAGGGAUACGUUCGUUGGGUAGGGGAGCGUUCUGUAAGCCUGCGAAGGUGGCCUGUGAGGGUUGCUGGAGGUAUCAGAAGUGCGAAUGCUGACAUAAGUAACGAUAAAGCGGGUGAAAAGCCCGCUCGCCGGAAGACCAAGGGUUCCUGUCCAACGUUAAUCGGGGCAGGGUGAGUCGACCCCUAAGGCGAGGCCGAAAGGCGUAGUCGAUGGGAAACAGGUUAAUAUUCCUGUACUUGGUGUUACUGCGAAGGGGGGACGGAGAAGGCUAUGUUAGCCGGGCGACGGUUGUCCCGGUUUAAGCAUGUAGGCGGAGGUUCCAGGUAAAUCCGGUACCUUAUUAACGCUGAGGUGUGAUGACGAGGCACUACGGUGCUGAAGUAACAAAUGCCCUGCUUCCAGGAAAAGCCUCUAAGCAUCAGGUAACAUCAAAUCGUACCCCAAACCGACACAGGUGGUCAGGUAGAGAAUACCAAGGCGCUUGAGAGAACUCGGGUGAAGGAACUAGGCAAAAUGGUGCCGUAACUUCGGGAGAAGGCACGCUGAUACGUAGGUGAAGUCCCUUGCGGAUGGAGCUGAAAUCAGUCGAAGAUACCAGCUGGCUGCAACUGUUUAUUAAAAACACAGCACUGUGCAAACACGAAAGUGGACGUAUACGGUGUGACGCCUGCCCGGUGCCGGAAGGUUAAUUGAUGGGGUUAGCGGCAACGCGAAGCUCUUGAUCGAAGCCCCGGUAAACGGCGGCCGUAACUAUAACGGUCCUAAGGUAGCGAAAUUCCUUGUCGGGUAAGUUCCGACCUGCACGAAUGGCGUAAUGAUGGCCAGGCUGUCUCCACCCGAGACUCAGUGAAAUUGAACUCGCUGUGAAGAUGCAGUGUACCCGCGGCAAGACGGAAAGACCCCGUGAACCUUUACUAUAGCUUGACACUGAACACUGGUCCUUGAUGUGUAGGAUAGGUGGGAGGCUUUGAAGCGCGGACGCCAGUUCGUGUGGAGCCAUCCUUGAAAUACCACCCUUUAAUGGCUGGUGUUCUAACGUAGACCCGUAAUCCGGGUUGCGGACAGUGUCUGGUGGGUAGUUUGACUGGGGCGGUCUCCUCCUAAAGAGUAACGGAGGAGCACGAAGGUUAGCUAAUCCUGGUCGGACAUCAGGAGGUUAGUGCAAAGGCAUAAGCUAGCUUGACUGCGAGAGUGACGGCUCGAGCAGGUGCGAAAGCAGGUC